rnacentral:rRNA from 1 species
UACGUAGGGUGCGAGCGUUGCCCGGAUUUAUUGGGCGUAAAGGGCGCGUAGGCGGUCACGCACGUCCGUUGUGAAAUCGCUCGGCUCAACUGGGCGGGGUCAGCGGAUACGGCGUGGCUGGAGCAAGCUAGGGGGCAAUGGAAUUCCCGGUGUAGUGGUGGAAUGCGUAGAUAUCGGGAGGAACACCAGUGGCGAAGGCGGUUGCCUGGAGCUUUGCUGACGCUGAUGCGCGAAAGCGUGGGUAGCGAACAGG